UGGGGAAUAUUGGACAAUGGGCGAAAGCCUGAUCCUGCCAUGCCGCGUGUGUGAAGAAGGUCUUCGGAUUGUAAAGCACUUUAAGUUGGGAGGAAGGGCAUUAACCUAAUACGUUAGUGUUUUGACGUUACCGACAGAAUAAGCACCGGCUAACUCUGUGCCAGCAGCCGCGGUAAUACAGAGGGUGCAAGCGUUAAUCGGAAUUACUGGGCGUAAAGCGCGCGUAGGUGGUUUGUUAAGUUGGAUGUGAAAUCCCCGGGCUCAACCUGGGAACUGCAUUCAAAACUGACUGACUAGAGUAUGGUAGAGGGUGGUGGAAUUUCCUGUGUAGCGGUGAAAUGCGUAGAUAUAGGAAGGAACACCAGUGGCGAAGGCGACCACCUGGACUAAUACUGACACUGAGGUGCGAAAGCGUGGGGAGCAAACA
rnacentral:rRNA from 1 species